rnacentral:rRNA from 1 species
AGAGUUUGAUCCUGGCUCAGAUUGAACGCUGGCGGCAUGCUUUACACAUGCAAGUCGAACGGCAGCACAGGGAGCUUGCUCCCGGGUGGCGAGUGGCGCACGGGUGAGUAAUACAUCGGAACGUGUCCUGUUGUGGGGGAUAACUGCUCGAAAGGGUGGCUAAUACCGCAUGAGACCUGAGGGUGAAAGCGGGGGAUCGCAAGACCUCGCGCAAUUGGAGCGGCCGAUGCCCGAUUAGCUAGUUGGUGAGGUAAAGGCUCACCAAGGCGACGAUCGGUAGCUGGUCUGAGAGGACGACCAGCCACACUGGGACUGAGACACGGCCCAGACUCCUACGGGAGGCAGCAGUGGGGAAUUUUGGACAAUGGGGGCAACCCUGAUCCAGCCAUGCCGCGUGCAGGAUGAAGGCCUUCGGGUUGUAAACUGCUUUUGUCAGGGACGAAAAGGACCGUGUUAAUACCAUGGUCUGCUGACGGUACCUGAAGAAUAAGCACCGGCUAACUACGUGCCAGCAGCCGCGGUAAUACGUAGGGUGCAAGCGUUAUCCGGAAUUAUUGGGCGUAAAGGGCUCGUAGGCGGUUCGUCGCGUCCGGUGUGAAAGUCCAUCGCUUAACGGUGGAUCCGCGCCGGGUACGGGCGGGCUUGAGUGCGGUAGGGGAGACUGGAAUUCCCGGUGUAACGGUGGAAUGUGUAGAUAUCGGGAAGAACACCAAUGGCGAAGGCAGGUCUCUGGGCCGUCACUGACGCUGAGGAGCGAAAGCGUGGGGAGCGAACAGGAUUAGAUACCCUGGUAGUCCACGCCGUAAACGGUGGAUGCUGGAUGUGGGGACCAUUCCACGGUCUCCGUGUCGGAGCCAACGCGUUAAGCAUCCCGCCUGGGGAGUACGGCCGCAAGGCUAAAACUCAAAGAAAUUGACGGGGGCCCGCACAAGCGGCGGAGCAUGCGGAUUAAUUCGAUGCAACGCGAAGAACCUUACCUGGGCUUGACAUGUUCCCGACAGCCCCAGAGAUGGGGCCUCCCUUCGGGGCGGGUUCACAGGUGGUGCAUGGUCGUCGUCAGCUCGUGUCGUGAGAUGUUGGGUUAAGUCCCGCAACGAGCGCAACCCUCGCCCUGUGUUGCCAGCACGUCGUGGUGGGAACUCACGGGGGACCGCCGGGGUCAACUCGGAGGAAGGUGGGGAUGACGUCAGAUCAUCAUGCCCCUUACGUCCAGGGCUUCACGCAUGCUACAAUGGCCGGUACAACGGGAUGCGACACCGCGAGGUGGAGCGGAUCCCUUAAAACCGGUCUCAGUUCGGAUUGGAGUCUGCAACCCGACUCCAUGAAGGCGGAGUCGCUAGUAAUCGCGGAUCAGCAACGCCGCGGUGAAUGCGUUCCCGGGCCUUGUACACACCGCCCGUCAAGUCAUGAAAGUGGGUAGCACCCGAAGCCGGUGGCCCAACCUUUUGGGGGGAGCCGUCUAAGGUGAGACUCGUGAUUGGGACUAAGUCGUAACAAGGUAGCCGUACCGGAAGGUGCGGCUG